CCUAAUAACACGGCCGCAAGGCCCGCUGGAAGCGUGGUCCCUUUUCGGGGCACGGCGCCUACAGUUGACCCUUUGUGAAAACCCCUUGUUGCUUCGGCAGCGCCUUUCUGCCCACGGUAGGAAGGGUCAGCCUGCCGACGGCACCUUUUUCAAAACCCUAGUUGCAAAGCAGUAUUUAAUUGUCUGACAGCGCAGUCGAAUGACUUUA
rnacentral:misc_RNA from 1 species